UUCGCAUCUUUGUUUUGAAUCUUUUGAUAAGUUCUUAGAUUGUUGUUUGUUCUAUAUCUUGAUACUAUUCACUUAUAAUCUUCGCUUCAUGGAAUCAAAAAUUUUACGAUGUUUAGAAGCAGAUAGACUAGUCAAGAUUUUAUGAAUAUUUAGCUUUUAUAAUGGCAUCAUCUCAACUAUAUCUAAUAGUGUUAGUAAUUGUGUAGUCUUACAUGAUUGUGAAAGCUUAUUCAAUACUUGAAGUAUCUCGAGAUGAUUUUGAUGUUUCUUAAACUUGUAAAAUGUUGGAUUUAGUUCAAACUUUAAAUGAUGGAGCUUAUGGAAUGCCAGAAUGGUUGAAUUAUAACUUAUUUGGAGAAUAGAAAAGUUGAUUAAAAUAGAAGCACAAUAAGUUAACAAAAUACCUGCUGAAUUGAUUCAAGUUCGUUCAAGGGUUUUGGAAGCUAUUCAAGGUCUUUUCAGGGCCAAGUGACUUGAAUCUCUUAAAUAGAUGCUGAAGAACUCAGAUUCUCCAAUCAGAGUUGUUGAGGCUGCAGAGAAGGUUCGGUCUAUUCCAUAGUUUUUCUUUCCUGGUUUUCUGGUUACAUUUCUUUUUACUAUGAGAAUGCCAACCUGAUGGUAUGGCAUGAUAUGAUGGUAUUGUUUUGUCAUAUAUGCUCUGGGGGCUUACUGUUUUGUGGUCUACUAUUUUAUCAUCUUCACUUUGGAUCUAUGUUAUAUCCUAUACAUGAAAAAGAAGCUGUGCAUAUGUACAACAGCUUCACAAUUAAAGGAAGCAACAUGGCUGCAGGCAUCUUUAACAAUGGCUACUGCUGAGUUACUUUUGUUGAAUAUCUUUCGGUUGCUUAAUAACUAAUGUGGUCCUAUUUAGUAUACCUCUAGCAAAUAGAUUGAUUGUCAAUCAUUCUUGUGACCUUUUCUCAUGAAGAAAUUCAAUUCCUUUUUAAGUGA